AUGUGUUCCUUUAGACUACCCAAGGCUUAUCUGCUGUUUUACAGGAAACAAAAAGUAGGACCUGCAGACACCUCCUCCCAAGUCAUGGGUGAAGUUUCCACUCCUGGAGUCCCACAGGGUGACGUCAGUGUGAAGAUGGAUGGACUGGAAACAGAAGAUCCACAGAACAGAGACGUAGACGUUAACGCUGCAGCAUCUGUUUCUCCCAAAGACGUCAGUGGGUUGAAAAGACCAGCGGCGGCACCUGAACGUCCCUAUAAACAUGAAGAAGGAGACAAGCCACCGCAUCAGCAAGAUGGAGAUGAGGACAAAGACCGUGGACAUGUUCGUAUCAAGGAACACAAAGAGGAUGAUGAUGAAAAAUGCAUGACAUCACCUGAUGACCAAAUGAGAACAAAAGCAGCCGAGGGUGUAAAGAACGAUGGUACUGGUGGGCGAUCAGACCUCCAGAACAUACCACAUACUUCUAACUUCAUGCCAUAUGCUAGUGAAAACCAGACAAGAUGGGGUAAACAAGGUGAAGUCAGAGAUAGAACAUGGAUAGAGGUGAAGGAAAAGGGGAGAGGUGAAGCAGAACAGCAGAAAAAUGAAGAGUUCCACCGUGUUACAGAUCAAAACAGACAAAAGUUAGAAACAUCAACUGCUCAGGUUGAAAGGUUUUCUCCUCAGGUUGAGUUGAAUCAGGAGGCGACAACAGGGAAGAGGGAAGGAAGUUUGGAUGUUUCCGAUAAUAUCUCAAGGUAUUACCAUGAACAGAAGGUCAGGGCCACGGAUGUGAACAGAGAUUAUAGUGAAGGUGGAGACAAGAAGAGACCUGAAAGAUUAGAGAACGUACGUGAUGAUCGGAAGGUUAACAAGGAAAGAAGAAGACAAGAACAUGAGCGUAAACCAGAAUACGACCUCCGAAAAGCAGCUGAGGAGACGACAGGAAGAGAUGAUUCAGGUACAGGAAGGACAGAAAUGUGCACAGGUGGUGUUAAGGAAACAGGGAAACUUUGGAAAAAAUCUGAUCUUCACGACCAAAACAGCAUGUCAAAUGAGAGGAAGAGUCCAAAACAGGGAAUUAGUGACAGCAAUAGAAGAUAUGACGAUCAGAGAGAGGACAGGGGGAUGUAGAAAGAGUCGGAGAUGGACCCAGAAGAAGAGGAAGCACUUAUAGUCUGAAGUAUUGUGGUACAUACCAUGAAGGAGAUGAGGAAAUAUGAAAAUAUGAAUUGGAGGAAAUCAAAGGGGGUGAUUUAAAUGACAGGAAAGACUGUGACAAACUGAACACCGGAGAGAACGCCAAAAAGAAGAGUGAGAGGAAGACAGAUGAAGAUGAGCAGAGUAGCAGAGGUCAUGAACAACGAAGAAUAAGGUCAGACAGAGAUCCCAACAGUAGAUCGGAGAAUCCUCGACGGAACAGAUCACCUGAACAACAGUUUAGUCCGACUCAGACACAGGCUGAGUUUGAUCUGAAAGGAGGAUCAGCUGGAAAAGGGCUCAGAGUUUACCAGUAUGAAGCCCAUGGACGUCCUCCAACAGGUGACGCCACGGAAGGCAGAAGGCGUUCAAAGUCAGAAAGAAAGACACGGAACAAUUCGAACCACCAUCAAGUCAGACCUAAAACCCAAUCAGACGCUCAGGAUGCUUUGAACGGAGACAUGAGAGGUCUAAGACUGACUGAAACACCCCCGAAAGGCAUCGAAGGGUUAGAACUGGAGGGGAACGCUAAAAAACAAGCAAAGAAGAAAUACUACGGAAAGGGUUGUUUUAGAUUUGUUCGCCGACGCAAAAACAAAGUCAAACAGAUUCAAAGUAACGGGGUUUAGUCGCUGUUUUCACCCGUCAGCUGUUUAUAUCAACACGUGAAUAUUUCGCAUAAUUAUUUUUUUAACAGUAGAUUUUUUUUUUUUUCUCGAACUCAAAGGUAUCAACCAAUCAUUUGUGUGAACUCCUGCAUUAGGCAGUGAGCAGUGCACGGCCCAAAAAAUUAUAAUUAUUAUAAUUCUCUUCGCUUGUCACGGGUGUUACCAGGUCCAAAUGUAAGCAGCUGGGCUAUUGAAGUGUUUGUCAACGGGGGCGGUACCCUGCAUAAAGACCCCAUGUAAACAUGUCGUCUUUAAAAGGUCUUGAAUUUAACUCAUAGAAACCUGUACUCAUUAAUACAUGUACGUUUCUGAAUACGUGAACUACCAAUUUACUUUUGAUGAUGAAAGUAAAACAAAUGCAGUACUUUUGUGCAUUUGACUUGAUUCCAUUAAGAUUAUUCACUGAUUUCUUCCUCUUUUAAGUUUCUUGAUUAAAUUGAUGUUUAAUUAUUGUAAAUUCUUGAGUUUACAAUGUGAGCUACUGGAAAUAAAUGUCUGAGAACAACUAAUAUUAGGUGUAAAUCAUGCCUUUUAUUAGAUUGUUGUUGUAUUUGAUUAAAUAUUAAGGACAGACUAAAGUGAGUUAAUUGUUAGAUUAUAUUACGGUCAUUUAUAUUUUGCUGUUUUAUGUUUGGUUUUAGGACUGACUUUUGUGUUUUAUGUAUAUUUUUAGUUUGGAUGUGGCUGUGAUUUCUAUUUUGUGUAAUUUCUGCUGCUGUCUUGGCCAGGACACUUGAAAAAGAGAUGUUUAAUGUCAAUUAGCUUUUUUCCGGGUUAAAUAAAGGUUAUAAAUAUAAUAAAAUAAAACACUGUGUUGUUAUGGUAAUGGUGACAUACAAAUAUUAAAUGUAAGUCAAAUUAAAAAGCUGAAACAUUGUGGCAAGUGCUGUUUUUAUAUAAUAUUAAGUGCAUUUGAAAAGAACAUCAACCAAGUAAAACAUGAGGAUUUCUAGUCAGACGCAUGGGACACGUCUGAAAUAA
ensembl:lncRNA